GUACUUACUUUGGCAGCACAUAUACUAAAAUUGGAAUGAUACAGAGAUCAGCAUGGCCCCUGUGUAAAGAUGACAUGCAAAUCCAUGAAGCUUUCCAUAUUUUU